CAUUGCUGAGCAAGACAAGAAAUCAUCCUUUUUUUUAAAAAAAAAAGAAAGUCUUUUAAAGUGGGGGAAAUACCAGCAGCGAGCCUUCAUGUAAUAUGUAUUUUUGGACAUGUUGCCUGCGUGGGAGUGUAAAGAAGGAACGGACACACGAAUGAAGCCUGUGCCUGUGAUUGUUAGUCAUCAUGUUGUCGAGAUCACAACAGUAUUUAACACUACUUGUGUUGUGCUCAUUGUGUUCCAUUGCCUCGGAUCAAGUCUUCAUGGGGCCAAGGACACGGAAAGUUGAUGAUUUCAACACUGCGGGUGAGACGACUCUUGCACAAGGCUUCAACAUGCGCUUUCUUGUGAACUGGAGUGUGACAGAGGAGACGAGAGAUGGCGCAGGAGGAAGAAAAUGAAAAGGUGGAAUACCAGAUGGCAAAGUCAACUGGGAUGCAGAAACUUUCCCAGGGCAUCUGCUCCAAACGCCCACGUCUGCGUCUCCAUCCAGUAGGAGUGCUGCUUUCACCCCUGAGUCCGGCUGUUGCUGAGCUGCCAUUGGCUGCCUGGGCCAGGGCCCAGAAAAAGGGAAGGCUGAGCCCUGAGAAUUUUCCGAAACAUUUUCUUUUCUAGCUCGGCUUUUGCCAACAUCUGCUUCCAAUCAGUGUUAGUCAAAAGAACGUUUCUUUUUCUCCCCGCUGUUGGGGUUAAACACACACAAACACACACACACACACACAACAUAGAAGGUUGAAGUAGGAGAACAAGUCAUCUGUUCUGUUAGUAACAAUAUUACAUACAAGAGACUAGUAGUCUUAAUGCUAAAAACAUCAUCAUCAUUAUUGCUAUCAUCAUAGCAAUACUACUGUCCUGUUUCUCUGUCUACCCUCCACCCCCUUCUCUCAAUCUCAGCCCCACAACGAUCACUGGUUGUGUUCUUCUUAGCCUCCGUUGGCAAAUGCCCACACGGUCUUGAUUCUGGUUGACAUUUCUUUCUUAACUCCUUCAACACCAAAAUCGUAGUUAUACGUUUUUACAAACCCAAACGCCUGAUCCCAACAAUGUAUUUAUACGUUUCUUACGUGUUUUUGUGCGAGAGGCUAAAGGUGGUGGUGCAACUCCUGAUGCUGAUGCAACUCCUUACAAAUGGAUUAGGCUUGAAAGCAUUUUUAAUUUCAUAAAAACGGACAGUAGGUGGCAGAAGUGCAUGUGAUAAAAGCUCGGCAGGGUUCGUGAGAGGAAUAAGAAACACACAUGACAGGAAGAGGAAUUGGGAGAGCGUUAAGGAGUGUAGCGUGGAGGCCGAGCAAAAAUGGACAAAAAAAAGGCUUUGGAAACAUCCUUGAAGGACAGACGAAUAAAAACAAAAGAGUGUAUGACGCUCUGGUGAGUGUUGCAGAAGAAGCACAACAUCGAGCCUCAUGUCGCCACACUUUCCACAAAGCACGCAGAGUUCGUCGCGUAUUUUCUUCGGAGCCUGCCGUGGGUCAGUUCAACGCCCAAGAUAAUAAUAUUGAGAUGGACCUCUAUGCGGACUCAUCCGAUGACUCGGUACCAUCUGAUUCAACCAGGAGCAGCGUUUUUUUCCCUUUUGUAGACGGCAACCGAUAUUCCUGAAACUUACCUAUGUUCUACUGCUGAUUACUAGAGAACGGAAAAAGGUAGAAACUUAUUUUUCUGAUGAAAGACCGGAGUACAAUCUUUCUAUCGGUAGGUUCCAUGUUUAUAUCGCCAUAGAACACAAUAUUCUGUGUGCCUUGAAAGAGCAGUCAAAAUUGUCUAAAGUGGCCGCUAAUGGGGCUGCCUUUCGAAAAAUGGCCGGGAUUGAAUGAGUUAAUAACCGUUAUUCCUUGCCUCUGUCACCAAUCCAUUUUCUCGAAGGUUUUUUUUGUUUAGAAGUACUUUUUUCCUUGCCUCAGUCACCUCUAGUGGCCAUGUUGAGUCCCGGUUCUGUUCAAGGUUUCUUCCCUGCAUCAGUUGCCAAAGUCCCCACACUAAGUUUCUGUCCAGUUUGUGAUUUCUUCCUUAGUGGGAGGUUUUCCUUGCCUCAGUCACUAACGUGCACCACACAGAGUCUUGGUUCUGUUUGAGGUUUCUUGCUAAGUGGCAGUUAUUCAUUACCUCCGUUGCCACAGUGCCCACACUGAGUUUUGGUUCAAUUCAAAUUGUUUUCCUUUGACUGAGCUGUUCACUGCAUCAGUUGUCAAAGUUUUUCCUUUCCUCAAUCACAAACGUACACCAAAGUUUUAUGGUUUCCAUAUCACCCCACCUACCAACCCAUCUAUCCACCGAUUCCUCAACCACUGGACAUUCAAAUAUUCAUGUUUUUCAAGACUUUCGGAUCCAUCUCCCAAUCUUUUACCAUGCUUAGACCUUGUACACAUA